rnacentral:rRNA from 1 species
GAUGAACGCUGGCGGCGUGCCUAAUACAUGCAAGUCGAGCGAACAGACGAGGAGCUUGCUCCUUCGACGUUAGCGGCGGACGGGUGAGUAACACGUGGGUAACCUACCUAUAAGACUGGGAUAACUUCGGGAAACCGGAGCUAAUACCGGAUAAUAUUUCGAACCGCAUGGUUCCAUAGUGAAAGAUGGCUUUGCUAUCACUUAUAGAUGGACCUGCGCCGUAUUAGCUAGUUGGUAAGGUAACGGCUUACCAAGGCAACGAUGCGUAGCCGACCUGAGAGGGUGAUCGGCCACACUGGAACUGAGACACGGUCCAGACUCCUACGGGAGGCAGCAGUAGGGAAUCUUCCGCAAUGGGCGAAAGCCUGACGGAGCAACGCCGCGUGAGUGAUGAAGGUCUUCGGAUCGUAAAACUCUGUUAUUAGGGAAGAACAAACGUGUAAGUAACUGUGCACGUCUUGACGGUACCUAAUCAGAAAGCCACGGCUAACUACGUG